rnacentral:rRNA from 1 species
AGUGAACGCUGGCGGUAGGCCUAACACAUGCAAGUCGAACGGCAGCACAGUAAGAGCUUGCUCUUACGGGUGGCGAGUGGCGGACGGGUGAGGAAUACAUCGGAAUCUACUUUUUCGUGGGGGAUAACGUAGGGAAACUUACGCUAAUACCGCAUACGACCUACGGUUGAAAGCAGGGGAUCUUCGGACCUUGCGCGAUUGAAUGAGCCGAUGUCGGAUUAGCUAGUUGGCGGGGUAAAGGCCCACCAAGGCGACGAUCCGUAGCUGGUCUGAGAGGAUGAUAAGCCACACUGGAACUGAGACACGGUCCAGACUCCUACGGGAGGCAGCAGUGGGGAAUAUUGGACAAUGGGCGCAAGCCUGAUCCAGCCAUACCGCGUGGGUGAAGAAGGCCUUCGGGUUGUAAAGACCUUUUGUUGGGAAAGAAAAGCAGCAGGUUAAUACCCAGCUGUACUGACGGUACCCAAAGAAUAAGCACCGGCUAACUUCGUG